ensembl:lncRNA
GUCAAGUUUAAAGGUGUAAAAACAAGUACAGGAUAUUUACAAUAAGCAGACCUCAGUGCAAGAAAGUGUCUUUCCAACACUGAAAAGGUCAAAGGUCAACUUUAAAGGUGUAAAAACAAGUACAGGAUAUUUACAAUAAGCAGACCUCAGUGCAAGAAAGUGUCUUUCCAACACUGAAAAGGUCAAAGGUCAAGUUUAAAGGUGUAAAAACAAGUACAGGAUAUUUACAAUAAGCAGACCUCAGUGCAAGAAAGUGUCUUUCCAACACUGAAAAGGUUAAAGGUCAAGUUUAAAGGUGUAAAAACAAGUACAGGAUAUUUACAAUAAGCAGACCUCAGUGCAAGAAAGUGUCUUUCCAACACUGAAAAGGUCAAAGGUCAACUUUAACAUUAAAAGGUGUAAAAACAAGUACAAGAUAUUUACAAUGAGCAGACCUCAGUGCAAGAAAGUGUCUUUCCAACACUGAAAAGGUCAAAGGUCAACUUUAAAGGUGUAAAAACAAGUACAAGAUAUUUACAAUAAGCAGACCUCAGAGCAAGAAAGUGUCUUUCCAACACUGAAAAGGUCAAAGGUCAAAGGUCAACGUUAACAUUAAAAGGUGUAAAAACAAGUACAAGAUAUUUACAAUAAGCAGACCUCAGAGCAAGAAAGUGUCUUUCCAACACUGAAAAGGUCAAAGGUCAACUUUAAAGGUGUAAAAACAAGUACAAGAUAUUUACAAUAAGCAGACCUCAGAGCAAGAAAGUGUCUUUCCAACACUGAAAAGGUCAAAGGUCAACUUUAAAGGUGUAAAAACAAGUACAAGAUAUUAACA